rnacentral:rRNA from 1 species
UGGGGAAUAUUGCACAAUGGGGGGAAACCCUGAUGCAGCGACGCCGCGUGAGUGAAGAAGUAUUUCGGUAUGUAAAGCUCUAUCAGCAAGGAAGAUAAUGACGGUACUUGACUAAGAAGCCCCGGCUAACUACGUGCCAGCAGCCGCGGUAAUACGUAGGGGGCAAGCGUUAUCCGGAUUUACUGGGUGUAAAGGGAGCGUAGACGGUAUGGUAAGUCAGAUGUGAAAGCCCGGGGCUUAACCCCGGAACUGCAUUUGAAACUAUCAAACUAGAGUGUCGGAGAGGUAAGUGGAAUUCCUAGUGUAGCGGUGAAAUGCGUAGAUAUUAGGAGGAACACCAGUGGCGAAGGCGGCUUACUGGACGAUAACUGACGUU